ACUCCUACGGGAGGCAGCAGUGGGGAAUAUUGCACAAUGGAGGAAACCCUGAUGCAGCAACGCCGCGUGGAGGAUGACGCAUUUCGGUGUGUAAACUCCUUUUAUAUGGGAAGGUAAUGACGGUACCAUAUGAAUAAGCACCGGCUAACUCCGUGCCUGCAACCGCGGUAAUACGGAGGGUGCAAGCGUUACUCGGAAUCACUGGGCGUAAAGCGCAUGCAGGCGGUCUAAUAAGUUGGAAGUGAAAGCCUAUGGCUCAACCAUAGAACUGCUUCCAAAACUGUUAGACUAGAGUCUGGGAGGGGGAGAUGGAAUUAGUAGUGUAGGGGUAAAAUCCGUAGAGAUUACUAGGAAUACCAAAAGCGAAGGCGAUCUUCUGGAACAGUACUGACGCUGAGAUGCGAAAGCGUGGGGAGCAAACAGGAUUAGAUACCCUGGUAGUCCACGCAGUAAACGAUGAAUGUUAGUCGUUGGUAUCCUAGAGAUAUCAGUGAUGCAGUUAACACAUUAAACAUUCCGCCUGGGGAGUACGGUCGCAAGAUUAAAACUCAAAGGAAUAGACGGGGACCCGCACAAGUGGUGGAGCAUGUGGUUUAAUUCGAAGAUACGCGAAGAACCUUACCUAGCCUUGACAUAUUUUAGAAUUCACCAGAGAUGGAGGAGUGCCUUCAGGAGCUAAUAUACAGGUGCUGCACGGCUGUCGUCAGCUCGUGUCGUGAGAUGUUGGGUUAAGUCCCGCGACGAGCGCAACCCUCGUCACUAGUUACUAACGAUUCGGUCGAGGACUCUAGUGAGACUGCC
rnacentral:rRNA from 1 species